rnacentral:rRNA from 1 species
UAGGGAAUCUUCCGCAAUGGACGCAAGUCUGACGGAGCAACGCCGCGUGAGUGAAGAAGGAUUUCGGUUCGUAAAACUCUGUUGUUAGAGAAGAACAGCGCAUAGAGUAACUGUUAUGCGUGUGACGGUAUCUAACCAGAAAGCCACGGCUAACUACGUGCCAGCAGCCGCGGUAAUACGUAGGUGGCAAGCGUUGUCCGGAUUUAUUGGGCGUAAAGCGAGCGCAGGCGGUCAAUUAAGUCUGAUGUGAAAGCCCCCGGCUCAACCGGGGAGGGUCAUUGGAAACUGGUUGACUUGAGUGCAGAAGAGGAGAGUGGAAUUCCAUGUGUAGCGGUGAAAUGCGUAGAUAUAUGGAGGACCACAAGUGCCGAAGGCGACUCUCUGGUCUGUAACUGACGCUGAGGCUCGAAAGCGUGGGUAGCAAACAGG